UCAAAGUAUAAGGGCAGAAUAAAUGUCUUGAAAAAAAAGAACUAAGGGAGGAAUGAAGAGAGAAAAGAAAGACAAAUUAAUACUCCCCGAAGCCACUGAAAACAGAAUGUUACAGAUGAGUGUAAAAGAAGCUUCUUUUGAUCUCUGAAAAGAUGGAUGUUGAGUACAGAUGAGCUUACCACCACUUCUCAGACAUGAAGGUACAAUGUAAUACCAGGCUGUCCAGCAAAGCUGCACCCAGCACACUUCUGAAAUUCAAGAAACUGUUUAAUGCUUCACUGAGCAAGCUCCAUUUCCAAAGAUGGUCGAGGAAACAAGAUUGUCAAAUAUAGCAAGGAAUCUAAAUAACACUGUAAAACAAGUGCUUUGGUUCAGGAGCUGAAAUACCACCAAAGCUGUUUACAAUGAAAAGAGUGAGGUCUAUCACUGACUUUCUUCAACACUUCAAAUAGCAGAACCUCAGAAGUGCCAAAGAAGAAAGUAUCACAUGUACCUUUCACUCUCAUAUGCAACCUGUCAAGUAGGUCCUAAAAAUUGUUCUGAUCCACGCUCUUGUAACAAGCAUUUCUUUAAUUAAGUUAAAUACAGUAGAUCUAUCACUAUGGAGAAAGAGGUAAGAACAGCUGUCCUGCUGAGCUAAGAACAGCACCAGCUGCCAGAUAUGUUUUGUUUAUAUAAACUGCAAAACUGUCAAGGAAGCAUGUGAAACAACUAGUUUGGAUUCUUACAACACAUGAGCCAAAAAACAGGUCAGGCACCAAAUAAAAAUAAAUCUCUCACUGCUAGGUAUGAAAAUGCAUGCCUUGAGGCAUGAGGAUUUGUAAAACAAAGUGCUGAAAUCGUCUCUAUUAGUAAUGGGGGAAAGUAACGAAACAACAGCACUGGCACAGGCAAGAGCAAAGGGUAGCAAAUAUCAGCUACACCACAGAAAAAGGAAGACCAACUUCUCACCCAUUUGUGAGAAUGGAAUAAGAACAAGACAGUGAUAGGCAUAGAUCUAGCACGCUACAGAAAGUUUGUAAGAUUAUUCCUCUCUUACACACAGCAGAAUUUCUCACAAUGGGGAAAGGAAGAGGAGACAAACAAGAAGCCACCUCUGGAAAAUUUAAUUUAACCUCUCUCUCCUUUUCCUCUCUCAUCCUCCUACAAGCUUCACCUCCCUGAUAAUGACUUGAAAACUUUAGAAAUUGAAUGUUUCUAAAGACAGGACAUAAGCAAGAACAAAGCCUUAAGUUC